UUUUAAACUUGACUUGAAAUACUUGCUCUAUUCAUAACAUGACCAACCAGGUCUUCUCUUCACAUUGUUGGUUCCUUUUUAUCUAUUCAAUUGGUCUCUAAAUAUCCUAAAGUCUCCUGUUGAAUUCCUAGACAUAACUGUUUGGUUUAAAAUAAUUCAAAUUUUACUUUCUAUUUUCCGUUUACACAAAAAGUUACUUUCUAUUUUCCGUUUACACAAAAAGUUACUUUCUAUUUUAUCUGAUAUAAUUGAAGGAAUCCAUGCUACAAGGUGUGAUUUUUUCCAGUUGUGAUAAGCAGAUGUCCACAAACUUGCUCCAUCGUUGGGAUGAUGAAGGUGGAUGUGACUCCAUUGCUGUUGGUUUCUCAAUUCUGACUCGAGGGGCUUCCAGAAAAAAGGGAACACGUUGAUGAUGGAACGCGGGAUUCACCGGCAUGACCAACACGCGUUCCUCUUUUGCUUCAAAACGCAGUUUCCCCCCUCUUACAUAAACGACAACGUUUUCAACAAGAAUAUGUAAACGACGUGUCGUCCGGAAUCAGUGGACCAUUUUCUCUUUUUGGAAACUUUCUACUGCUUACAAAGGUAAUAAAAAUUAUGCCAUAAAGGUCGAAAAUGCAACCAAAAUCACAUUGGUAUAAAGUUUAUUUUUUGAAAGGGAAUCAAAACCCAAAUCAUGAGAAUAUAUAUAGAUCUCUAAAAUAGACAAUAUCAUAUCAUGUAUAUUUGAAAAAUUAGAUGAUAACAAAACUGUUUCUUCUUA